GCUUGUUUUGGCAACCUGUAUAUUAAAAUUGGAACAAUACAGAGAUUAACAUGGCCCCUGCCCAAGGAUGACAUGCAAAUUUGUGAAGCAUUCUGCAUCUUA